rnacentral:tRNA from 1 species
GGCGGAUUAGUGUAAUGGUUAAUGCAGCGGCUUCAUGCACCGCAAAUAGAGGUUCGAUUCUUCUAUCCGCGU